rnacentral:rRNA from 1 species
GAUGAACGCUGGCGGCGUGCCUAAUACAUGCCAGUCGCGCGAAGCGGGGACGGGUGAGUAACACGUGGAUAACCUCCUAUAUGACUGGGAUUACUCCGGGUAACCGGAGCUAAACCUGAUACUUAAAGAUGGAUCCGCGAUGCAUUAUCUAUGUGGUAAGGUAACGGCUUACAAGGGCAACGGUGCCUACUCGACCUGCGAGGGUGAUCGGCGACACUGGAACUGAGACACGGUCCAGACUCCUACGAGAGGCAGCAGUAGGGAAUCUUGCGAAAUGGGCGAAAGCCUGACGGAGAAACGCCGCGUGGGUGAUGACGGUCUUCGGAUCGUAAAGCUCUUUGAUUAGGGAAGCGAUACCUAAACAGAAAGCCACGGCUAACUACGUGCCAGCAGCCGCGGUAAUUC